rnacentral:rRNA from 1 species
AUUGAACGCUGGCGGCAGGCCUAACACAUGCAAGUCGAGCGAGCGGCGGACGGGUGAGUCAUGUAUGGGGACUGCCCGAUAGAGGGGGAUAACUACUGGAAACGGUGGCUAAUCCCGCAUACUGUAGGAUACCCCAUGUGGGAGUAGCUAGUAGGUAAGGUAAUGGCUUACCUAGGGGACGAUCCCUAGCUGGUCUGAGAGGAUGAUCAGCCAAACUGGGACGGAGACACGGCCCAGAUUCCUACGGAGGCAGCAGUGGGGAAUAGUGCACAAUGGGCGCAAGCCUGAUGCAGCCAUGCCGCGUGUAUGAAGAAGGCCCUAGGGUUGUAAAGUACUUUCAGUCGGGAGGCGUUACCGACAGAAGAAGCACCGGCUAACUCCGUGCCAGCAGCCGCGGUAAUAC